rnacentral:rRNA from 1 species
GGGCUUGACAUCCCACGAACCUGCCUGAAAGGGCGGGGUGCCCGCAAGGGAGCGCGGAGACAGGUGGUGCAUGACUGUCGUCAGCUCGUGUCGUGAGAUGUUGGGUUAAGUCCCGCAACGAGCGCAACCCUCACCCCAAGUUGCCACCGGGUUAAGCCGAGCACUCAAGGGGGAACUGCCAGCGUCAAGCUGGAGGAAGGCGGGGAUGACGUCAAGUCAUCAUGCCCCUUACGCCCUGGGCUACACACGUGCUACAAUGGCCAGUACAAAGGGACGCGAGACUGCGAAGUGGAGCUAAUCCCAAAAAGCUGGUCUAAGUUCAGAUUGCAGUCUGCAACUCGACUGCAUGAAGGAGGAAUCGCUAGUAAUCGCGCAUCAGCCCGGCGCGGUGAAUACGUUCCCGGGCCUUGUACACACCGCCCGUCACACCACGAAAGCUGUCUGUACUCGAAGUCGCUGAG